AUGAGAAGGAAAACAAAAGCGCAGCGAAUUCUUGACUACGAAAAUGAAGAGGAUGAGGAAGAGGAACAAAAACCGGACUGCUUCAGUCAGAACGGUGCACAGAAACGAAGAAAACUGUUUUCUUCCAACGAGAAAGCAGAAGAAAAUUGCUCAUCCGACGCCGGGUUUCAGAAGUUAGACAUCAAGGUUAAUGAGCUGGAUUGUUCUUCCGCAGACCUCUACACUGACAGUCCUCCUGCUUCUGAGUCUCAGGAGGCUCAUUAUUUACAGUCCUAUUCGAAGAAGGAGCUUAUUACCAUGGUCUUGUGCAUGCAGAAGGAAAUGGACAACUUGAAGGAACAACUUAGGUGCCUUACAGCAUGUGGAAAGCUGGCAAGAAACCUGGAAAUGCUGAUUGAGAAGACCCAGAUGUGGUCAAAUGGGAACAAUGGGACCUCUCUCGGGACCCCAGAUUCUCAAGGUACGGCGCAGGCACCCACCGAGGCAGAUGCUGUGAUACCAGAUGUGCGUUCUCCUCCGGCCAUUGUGAAUGGGCAAUGGCUGAAUCAGGGUCCAGGACCACAGAAACCUCAUGAGGCCACUCAGAAUGCUCUAAGGGACGGGCUCUUCACAGAGUUUAUCACUCCUGAACUCUUGGAGAGGUGUAACACAGGCACCACUCCCCAAAAACUGACCAACGACCUGCUCCGUGGACUCUACGAGAGGGAAUGCCUGGCUUCCCACUCUAUAUCUGGAGUCAUGUUCAACAAGAGAGGCCAACCAAAGCCUGCUCUCCCCACUGAAGAGGUCCAGGCAAUCCUGAGAACCGUUCAGUAUUUCUUUCCUGGCAAGACUGACGCAGAGAUCAAGGGCUACAUCCGACAAAAACUGCAAAACGAAGCCAAGAGGCUGAGGAAGAAACCUUCACUCUCAGACCAAUAUGAGUCUAGAGGUUUCAAUGUACCGUUAGAUACGAUUGAGAAGACCCAGAUGUGGUCAAAUGGGAACAAUGGGACCUCUCUUGCUACCCCAGAUUCUCAAGGCACGGCGCAGGCACCCACCGAGGCAGAUGCUUUGAUACCAGAUGUGCGUUCUCCUCCGGCCAUUGUGAAUGGGCAAUGGCCGAAUCAGGGUCCAGGCUGA
ensembl:lncRNA